rnacentral:snRNA from 1 species
AUUGCUUCUCAGCCUUUUGGCUAAGAUCAAGUGUAGAAAUAAUGUUAAAAAAGUGAUUGAUUCUAUAGAUGACCUAUCUCUUGCUCAGGAGGAUUACUGAUAAAUUGGACAUUUAUUCUUAAAUCAACUUAGCAAUC